rnacentral:rRNA from 1 species
CUGACGCUGAGGCACGAAAGCGUGGGUAUCGAACAGGAUUAGAUACCCUGGUAGUCCACGCAGUAAACGAUGAUAACUAGUUUUCCGGUGCGAGUGAGUGCUGGGAGACCGAGCGAAAGUGUUAAGUUAUCCACCUGGGGAGUACGCCGGCAACGGUGAAACUCAAAGGAAUUGACGGGGGCCCGCACAAGCGGAGGAACAUGUGGUUUAAUUCGAUGAUACGCGAGGAACCUUACCCGGGCUCAAACGGCUAUGGACGCACUGUGAAAGCGGUGUUCCCUUCGGGGCUGUAGUCGAGGUGCUGCAUGGUUGUCGUCAGCUCGUGCCGUGAGGUGUCGGCUUAAGUGCCAUAACGAGCGCAACCCCCAUCUCCAGUUGCCAUCAAGUAAGCUGGGCACUCUGGAGAGGCUGCCGGCGCAAGCUGCGAGGAAGGCGGGGAUGACGUCAAAUCAGCACGGCCCUUACGUCCGGGGCGACACACGUGUUACAAUGGCGGGGCACAGCGGGGCGCCACAUGGCGACAUGGAGCCGAUCCCGAAAACCCGUCUCAGUUCGGAUCGGAGUCUGCAACUCGACUCCGUGAAGCUGGAUUCGCUAGUA